CUGCUUUGUUGUAUCACUUGAGAUUCUGAGGGCUACAAUGGUGCUCCUUGAGCAGUUUCUUGAGGAGGAAGAAGAAGAAGGGGAAAACCCUCGAUGACUAAGUGAAGGACCCUCUCCCAGGAGGGGUGGUGCUCCUAUUUAUAGGCCGCAGAUGUUACAUUUGCCCUAUAAAUGUCUGUCAGUGGCUCGGUGCGGACGGCGCGCGCCGGGCCCCACCUGUCAGUGGCCUAUAAAACAAUUUGCUCCGGGCCCCACCUGUCAGUGCCCUAUAAAACAAUUUGCUCCGGGCCCCACCUGUCAGUGGCUCGGUGCGGGUGGCGCGCGCCAGGCCGGUUCUGGCGCGGUCGGGACUGGGCCGGUUCGGCCCAUUUGGCCGGGCCGGUCCGGUUUUCUACCUUUUUUUUCUUUUAGCCUUUUCUUUUUUUCCUUUUUCUCAUUUCUUUGAUAUCUUUUGAUUUUGAACUCCGAAUUGGCCCAAAUAAAUUCCAGAAAAUUUGUAAAAUCAUGUUUUAUCAUGAUUCAACUUUUGGGAGUAAUUUCCCCUCAAAAUAAAAUAUAUAAAAAUACAUUUGCCCUAUAAAUGCCUUUAGGGCUAUAUAACUAUUUAAAUAAAAUAGUUUUUCAACUCCAAAUAAUUAUCCAAAAAUUAUGGGAUAGCUUAUUUAUGCAAUAAACCCCUUUUAUAAAUAAACCCUAUUGGUUUGAAGAUCCAAAGCUCAAAUGGGUGUAAACCCAAGGGUUUAAAUUGAAAUAAAAACUUUUAAAGCCUUUUGAGAUUCAAAUUUGAAUUCAAAUAUGCAAUUGUGGCAUGAUGGUCAUGGAUGCAAUGCACAUGUAAGAAUUUGAAAUUUUGGGAUGUUACAUGUCGGAAGAAACUUUUAAAGCUAUUAGAUCCCUGGGAUGCCGGUUGCAGAUGUAAAUACUUUGAAGUACUUUCAGUUAUGAUGCACGAUAUUUUUAAUUUCCUUAUGCCUUUUUAGUUAUUGAGUUCCUAACCGAGUCCUCGAGUUUAUUUUUUUUGUUGGUGAAAUAAUAUGACCUCGGAUUUUUGUCUGCCUUGUCAACGUUCGACGUAUGAAUCACAAACUCAUAGAAUAGACCCUUCAAAAAAUUUUAACUCAAAAAACCCGCCUGGAAAUGCCCGACAUAGGAAAGGAAUGCUGGGUUAGAGGUAAAACAACGCGUA
rnacentral:lncRNA from 1 species